rnacentral:misc_RNA from 1 species
AAAGUCGUAACAAGGUAACCGUAGGUGAACCUGCGGUUGGAUCAUUAAAAUAGACAACGUCCGAAUCAUGAGUGCAUAUGACGUUGUAAAACUAAACUAUCUCAUACCACCUUUGUGAACUGUAUUUGUCUCUGGCGGGAGGGGUAAAAUUUCGGUUUUAUCUGUCAGUUUGGAAACUUCUUUUUAGAAGGGCCGAAACCGUGGACAACCCGCCAAACACUUGUAUCAACCUUGAUUUUUGUUUAUGUCUAACAUUUUUUGUAUAAAUAUACAAACAACUUUUGGCAACGGAUCUCUUGGCUCUC